CCGUUGGUGAACCAGCGGAGGGAUCAUUACUGGAAUCGCAAGAUCCCACAACCCUGUGAACCUACCGAAACGUUGCCUCGGCGGGUGCCCGGCCUCUGCGCCGGGCGCUGCGCCCGCCGGCGGCCCCCUACUCUGUCUCUGCAGCGUGGCAUCUCAGAGUCCCAGAAAACAAGUCAAAACUUUCAACAACGGAUCUCUUGGCUCUA
rnacentral:misc_RNA from 1 species